rnacentral:rRNA from 1 species
AGGACGAACGCUGGCGGCGUGCUUAACACAUGCAAGUCGAACGGUAAGGCCCCUUCGGGGGUACACGAGUGGCGAACGGGUGAGUAACACGUGGGUAAUCUGCCCUGCACUUCGGGAUAAGCCUGGGAAACUGGGUCUAAUACCGGAUAUGAACUCCUGCCGCAUGGUGGGGGUUGGAAAGUUUUUCGGUGCAGGAUGAGCCCGCGGCCUAUCAGCUUGUUGGUGGGGUAAUGGCCUACCAAGGCGACGACGGGUAGCCGGCCUGAGAGGGUGAUCGGCCACACUGGGACUGAGACACGGCCCAGACUCCUACGGGAGGCAGCAGUGGGGAAUAUGCACAAUGGCGAAAGCCUGAUGCAGCGACGCCGCGUGGGGGAUGACGGUCUUCGGAUUGUAAACCCUUUCAGUAGGGACGAAGCGCAAGUGACGUACCUGCAGAAGAAGCACCGGCUAACUACGUGCCAGCAGUCGC